rnacentral:rRNA from 1 species
UUUGCUGGCGACCGGCGCACGGGUGAGUAACACGUAUCCAACCUGCCCUUUACUCGGGGAUAGCCUCUCGAAAGAAAGAUUAAUACCCGAUGGCAUAAUGACUCCGCAUGGUUUCAUUAUUAAAGGAUUCCGGUAAAGGAUGGGGAUGCGUUCCAUUAGGUUGUUGGUGAGGUAACGGCUCACCAAGCCUUCGAUGGAUAGGGGUUCUGAGAGGAAGGUCCCCCACAUUGGAACUGAGACACGGUCCAAACUCCUACGGGAGGCAGCAUG